ACUCCGUGCCAGCAGCCGCGGUAAGACGGGGGAUGCAAGCGUUAUUCGGAAUUAUUGGGCGUAAAGCGUCUGUAGGUGGUAAGGAAAGUGUAAUGUUAAAGAUCAGGGCUCAACCCUGGGAAAGCAUUGCAAACUAUCUUACUUGAGUUCGGUAGGGGCAGAGAGAAUUCCCAGUGUAGCGGUGAAAUGCGUAGAUAUUGGGAGGAAGACCGGUGGCGAAGGCGUUCUGCUGGGCCGUAACUGACACUCAGAGACGAAAGCUAAGGUAGCAAAUAGGAUUAGAUACCCUAGUAGUCUUAGCUGUAAACGAUGCACACUAUGUUUUGCAAUUUGCAGAGCAAUAGCUAACGCGUUAAGUGUGCCGCCUGGGGAGUACAUUCGCAAGGAUGAAACUCAAAGGAAUUGACGGGGACCCGCACAAGCGGUGGAGCAUGUGGUUUAAUUCGAUGCAACGCGAAGAACCUUACCAAGAAUUGACAUGCUGCGAACGUUUACGAAAGUAAAAAGUCUAUUAACUUAGUUAAUAGCGCAGACACAGGUGGUGCAUGGUUGUCGUCAGCUCGUGCCGUGAGGUGUUAGGUUAAGUCCUGCAACGAGCGCAACCCUUGUCUUUAGUUAUAUUCUAGAGAGACUGCCGGUGACAAACCGGAGGAAGGUGAGGAUGACGUCAAAUCAGCAUGCCCCUUACAUCUUGGGCGACUCACGUGCUACAAUGGUCGGGACAAAGAGAUGCUACCCUGCGAAGGCAAGCUAACCUCAAAACCCGAUCUCAGUUCGGAUUGCAG
rnacentral:rRNA from 1 species